rnacentral:rRNA from 1 species
AUAUCAAUAAGCGGAGGAAAAGAAACUAACAAGGAUUCCCCUGGUAACUGCGAGUGAAGCGGGAAAAGCUCAAAUUUGAAAUCUGGCGGUUCUGAACCGUCCGAGUUGUAAUUUAGAGAAGCGUCUUCCGCGCUGGACCGUGCAUAAGUCUCCUGGAAUGGAGCGUCAUAGAGGGUAAGAAUCCCGUCUUUGACCCAGAGUUUACCGCGUACAACAUGCGUUCAGAGAGUCGAGUUGGUCGGGACUCCAGCUCUAAAUGGGUGGUAAACUUCAUCCAAGGCUAAAUAUUGGCAAGAGACCGAUAGCGCACAAGUA